rnacentral:rRNA from 1 species
UACGGAGGGUGCGAGCGUUGUCCGGAAUCACUGGGCGUAAAGGGCGCGUAGGUGGCGGAGCAAGUCAACGGUGAAAGCUCGACGCUUAACGUCGAGUCGGCCGUCGAUACUGCUUUGCUCGAGCACUGUAGAGGCAGAUGGAAUUCCUGGUGUAGCGGUGAAAUGCGUAGAUAUCAGGAGGAACACCGAUGGCGAAGGCAGCUGCCUGGCCUAGAACUGACGCUGAGGUGCGAAAGCGUGGGGAGCGAACAGG